rnacentral:lncRNA from 1 species
UGUAGAACAGUCAAACCUUGAAGAACACGGGUUUGAACUGCGAGAGUCCACUUAUAUGAGGGUUUUUGAAAAUAAAAGUUACCCCGAGUGUGCCUGCCUCUCCUGCCUUCCCUUCCACGUCCUCCACCUCUUCUGCCUCUGCCACCCCUGAGACAGCAAGACCAACCCCCGGCUUCUCCUCCUCAGUCUACUCAACCUGACGAUCACAAGGAUGAAGACCUUUAUGACUCACCUUUAUGAUUCACUUCCAACAUAAUUCUGACUUCACCUGUACUCUCAGUGACUUUGUACAGAAAUCAGGAAGAUGCUUUGAAAGAAACACUGUGCAAUGAAAGUGCCACUGAUGUGUCUAGCAUUGACAUGCUUUUGGCUGCAAAGACUUGAGCCCACACGUUGCCUGAAACCUUCAGUCCUUUGAAGCUGUGAUUUCAAGACCCAGAUGUUGACAGCUGCUCAGAAUGCUUCUCAGGAAGAGGCUGGGACUUCCAAGACCCCAUUCCUGGGUUGGGUGAUGAGUGGUUCUGAUACUGUGAAAACUCACAAAAGACUAUGUAAUGAUACCAACCACGUGAGACUAUUUUGAGAAUUAAAUGAGUUAAUAUAUGCAAGAGACUUUGUGAGUGGGACAAACAGAACUCAGAGAGUGUCUGAUCUACCAUGGCUGGCUACAUAAUUUGGGGGCCCCAAUGAGAAAUGAAAAUGUAGGGUCUCUUGUUCAAAAAUUAUUAAGAAUUUCAAGACAGUGACAGCAGAACGUUAAAUCACACGUGAGGCUCCUGGGAUUGCACAGAUCGCAGGCCUUCAAAGCUGGUUAGUAAUGUGUGCGGCCUGGGGAGUCAGGGUUCAGGGGAGGGUUGUUAGGCCUGCCACCAAGAGGACGAGAAACUGAUCGGGGUAGCCAACCUCUGCCCUCUAGACCAGUGGUCCCCAACCGUUUUGGCACCAGGGACCAGUUUCGUGAAAGACAAUUUUUCCACAGACAGUGGGAGGGAUGGUUUUGGGAUGAAACUGUUCCAACUCAGAUCAUCAGGCAUUAAUUAGAUUUUCAUAAGGAGUACAACCUAGAUCCCUCACAUGCACAAUUCACAGUAGGGUUUGUGUUACUGUGAGAAUCUAAUGCCUCUGCGGCUCUGACAGGAGACUGAGCUCAGUAGCAAUGCUCACCUGCCUGCUGCUCACCUCCUGCUGUGCGGCCCAGGUCCUAAUAGGUUACCAGUCCUAACUGGUACCUAACAGGGUACAAAGUCCACAGCCUGGGGGUUGGGAACCCCUGCUCUAGACCAGCACUGAUGGUAGGUUUUAUACAUCAGUGGAGUUUCACGUAAAAGUUUGGGGAAAAAAAUGAUUCUUCUACCAGGAAAAAUUAAAAGGAAGAAAAAACAAAAAGGAAGAAACUGAUUUUAAUCCUUUUAUUUUAUACUUUAAAUAAUUGUUAAAAACCACACAAUAGUCGGGUGCAGUGGUGCACACCCGUAGUCCCAGCUACUCAGGAGACUGAGGUGGGAGGAUCGCUUGAGCCCAGGAGUUUGAUUCCAGCCUGGGCAACAUAGCAAGACCCCAUUCCUCCCCCCUCUGCCGACCAGGUUACACACUAAGAACAGUUUUUCAUUGUAAGAAUUCAAACAAUAUAAAAAUAUACAGACUUUAAAAAUGAGGAAACGCUUUACUUGCCUUAUAAUUCCACUUCUCACCCCAGAGGUAUC